UCAAAGGGGGGAUUUCACAUGUCACAUGAUCAGUACCUGAAGGGAGAUCUCUCUCUCACCAUCACUGAUGCUGAUUACACGAAGAGGUUCUGGUACACCUGUGAGUGUGAUGGUGUAGACAUCUGUGAUGUGAGUCUACAGAUAAAGGCAUUGAAUUCUUCAGUUUGGAUCAAGUCCAAUGAAAAUCUGGUGCUGGAUUUGCCCAUAUCAGAGUCAGUGAAGGUGAUUUAUAACAGCACAGGUGCAGCUGCUCCCUCUAGUGGACAGAUCUGCACAGUGGCUGGAAGCUCAUUACAAUGUAAA